rnacentral:rRNA from 1 species
GAUCUGCCCGAUAGAGGGGGAUAACCACUGGAAACGGUGGCUAAUACCUUAUAACGUCGCAAGACCAAAGAGGGGGACCUUCGGGCCUCUCACUAUCGGAUGAACCCAGAUGGGAUUAGCUAGUAGGCGGGGUAAUGGCCCACCUAGGCGACGAUCCCUAGCUGGUCUGAGAGGAUGACCAGCCACACUGGAACUGAGACACGGUCCAGACUCCUACGGGAGGCAGCAGUGGGGAAUAUUGCACAAUGGGGGCUAUCCUGAUGCAGCCAUGCCGCGUGUAUGAAGAAGGCCUUCGGGUUGUAAAGUACUUUCAGCGGGGAGGAAGGCGAUGGGGUUAAUAACCUUAUCGAUUGACGUUACCCGCAGAAAAAG